rnacentral:rRNA from 1 species
AAUACAUGCAAGUAGAACGCUGAAGGAGGAGCUUGCUCUUCUGGAUGAGUUGCGAACGGGUGAGUAACGCGUAGGUAACCUGCCUGGUAGCGGGGGAUAACUAUUGGAAACGAUAGCUAAUACCGCAUAAUAGUAGAUGUUGCAUGACAUUUGCUUAAAAGGUGCAAUUGCAUCACUACCAGAUGGACCUGCGUUGUAUUAGCUAGUUGGUGAGGUAACGGCUCACCAAGGCAACGAUACAUAGCCGACCUGAGAGGGUGAUCGGCCACACUGCGACUGAGACACGGCCCAGACUCCUGCGGGAGGCAGCAGUAGGGAAUCUUCGGCAAUGGACGGAAGUCUGACCGAGCAACGCCGCGUGAGUGAAGAAGGUUUUCGGAUCGUAAAGCUCUGUUGUAAGAGAAGAACGAGUGUGAGAGUGGAAAGUUCACACUGUGACGGUAUCUUACCAGAAAGGGACGGCUAACUACGUGCCAGCAGCCGCGGUAAUACGUAGGUCCCGAGCGUUGUCCGGAUUUAUUGGGCGUAAAGCGAGCGCAGGCGGUUAGAUAAGUCUGAAGUUAAAGGCUGUGGCUUAACCAUAGUACGCUUUGGAAACUGUUUAACUUGAGUGCAAGAGGGGAGAGUGGAAUUCCAUGUGUAGCGGUGAAAUGCGUAGAUAUAUGGAGGAACACCGGUGGCGAAAGCGGCUCUCUGGCUUGUAACUGACGCUGAGGCUCGAAAGCGUGGGGAGCAAACAGGAUUAGAUACCCUGGUAGUCCACGCCGUAAACGAUGAGUGCUAGGUGUUAGACCCUUUCCGGGUUUAGUGCCGCAGCUAACGCAUUAAGCACUCCG